rnacentral:rRNA from 1 species
UACGUAGGUGGCAAGCGUUGCUCCGGAUUUACUGGGCGAAAGGGCGUGCAGGCGGUCUGUUAAGUGCAGGGUGAAAGCUCCCGGCUCAACUGGGAGAGGUCCUUGCAUACUGGCGGACUUGAGGGGGGUAGAGGAAAGUGGAAGUUCCCGGUGUAGUGGUGAUAUGCGUAGAUAUCGGGAGGAACACCUGUGGCGAAGGCGGCUUUCUGGGCCCUACCUGACGCUGAGACGCGAAAGCGUGGGGAGCGAACCGG